rnacentral:misc_RNA from 1 species
UGACUGAGGCUUUCUUCAGUACGAAAGGACCAAGAAAGCAGGACCAAUGCCAACCGUACGUCCUAACAAAAGAGCUGAAGCCAACUCAAACUGCCCCUCACAAUACAACCGAAGACAACGGUUUAGUUAGGGUGGCAGAGCCAAGUAUUGCAAAAGACCUAAGAUCUUUCUAACAGAAGUGCAAGUCUUCUUCCUAACC